UAGAAAGCUGUCCCGUGCCGACACUGGCGC
rnacentral:sRNA from 1 species